AACGAACGCUGGCGGCAGGCCUAAUACAUGCAAGUCGAGCGCUCUAGCAAUAGAGAGCGGCGCACGGGUGCGUAACGCGUGGGAAUGUACCUCUAGGUGCGGAACAACGUCGGGAAACUGACGCUAAUACCGCAUAAUAUCUCCGGAUCAAAGAUUUAUCGCCUAGGGAUCAGCCCGCGUUGGAUUAGCUAGUUGGUGAGGUAAUGGCCUACCAAGGCAACGAUCUCUAGCUGGUCUGAGAGGACGAUCAGCCACACUGGGACUGAGACACGGCCCAGACUCCUACGGGAGGCAGCAGUGGGGAAUAUUGGACAAUGGGCGAAAGCCUGAUCCAGCAAUGCCGCGUGUGUGAAGAAGGCCUGAGGGUUGUAAAGCACUUUCAAUCGUGAAGAAAAGUUAGCAGGACUAAUACCCUGUGACCUUGACGUUAACGAUACAAGAAGCACCGGCUAACUCCGUGCCAGCAGCCGCGGU
rnacentral:rRNA from 1 species